ACACUCCUACGGGAGGCAGCAGUAGGGAAUCUUCGGCAAUGGGGGCAACCCUGACCGAGCAACGCCGCGUGAGUGAAGAAGGUUUUCGGAUCGUAAAGCUCUGUUGUAAGUCAAGAACGAGUGCGAGAGUGGAAAGUUCACACUGUGACGGUAGCUUACCAGAAAGGGACGGCUAACUACGUGCCAGCAGCCGCGGUAAUACGUAGGUCCCGAGCGUUGUCCGGAUUUAUUGGGCGUAAAGCGAGCGCAGGCGGUUUGAUAAGUCUGAAGUUAAAGGCUGUGGCUCAACCAUAGUUCGCUUUGGAAACUGUCAAACUUGAGUGCAGAAGGGGAGAGUGGAAUUCCAUGUGUAGCGGUGAAAUGCGUAGAUAUAUGGAGGAACACCGGUGGCGAAAGCGGCUCUCUGGUCUGUAACUGACGCUGAGGCUCGAAAGCGUGGGGAGCGAACAGGAUUAGAAACCCCAGUAGUCCCAUGA
rnacentral:rRNA from 1 species